rnacentral:rRNA from 1 species
GUGGAAUCUGUGCCAGGAGCGGGGGUAGUGUGGAGGUGGCGAGAUGUGCUCGGAUUUACGGGGCGUAAAUGGUGGUGAGGUGGAUAUUUAAGUGGGAUGUGAAAUACUCUGGCUUAACCUGAGUGCUGCAUUCCAAACUGGAUAUCGAGAGUGCAGGGGAGGAAAGUAGAAUUCCUAGUGUAGCGGUGAAAUGCGUAGAGAUUAGGAAGAAUACCAGUGGCGAAGGCGACUUUCUGGACUGUAACUGACACUGAGGCUCGAAAGCGUGGGGAGCAAACAGGAUUAGAUACCCCAGUAGUC